UUAUUUUUUUUAAUUCUCGACCCCGGUGCUCGCAUCGGAAUGAAUUGAAGAAAUAGGUCGAUCCCUUGGGUUUCAUAAAGGCACUCACUCGCUUGCGUUUAAAAUUUUCGAAUGUCGAACCGCGGUUCCGUUUCGUUUCCAAAAUGCUGGGGCUGUAGCUCAGCUGGGAGAGCGCCUGCUUUGCAAGCAGGAGGUCGUCGGUUCGAUCCCGAUCAGCUCCAACCACAUCGGACCCAUAGCUCAGCUGGUUAGAGCGUACGCUUGAUAAGCGUAAGGUCGGUGGUUCGAUCCCACCUGGGUCCAGUGUACACACACUUGGUGUCUAAAUCGAUUUUGUUGGUCUUUGACAUAAUGUCUUUAUGUUUUGUUCAUUCUCCAAAAGCCGUCCGGUCUGCGAAAGCGGAGUAGGAUACCUUGAAGGAGAUCAGUUGAACGAAGCAAUAACUAAAUGGGAAAAAAUAAGCGUCUUAAGGAAAACACACGCUUUAAACCGGCGUGUGUUUUAUUCAUUAAUGC
rnacentral:tRNA from 1 species